UGACGACGAGGAGGCCGACGGAAAGUAAGGGCCGGCCUGCGUGCGAGCUGGUUUCCGGAAGUGGUGCUGCGGCAGCAUGCUUGAGGAGCUGGGUUUAAUCGGGACCAUAGGUGAAGAUGACGAGGUGCCGGGGGAUCCUGAGUCUGACUCCGGGGACGAGGAGGAGGAGGGCCCCAUCGUGCUGGGCAGAAAGCAGAAAGCCUUGCAGAAGAACCGCAGCGCCGAUUUCAACCCUGACUUCGUUUUCACUGAGAAAGAGGGGGCAUACGAUGGCAGCUGGGCCAUGGCUGAUGUCAUGAGUCAGCUCAAGAAGAAGAGGGCAGCCACUACAUUAGAUGAGAAGAUUGAGAAAGUUCGCAAGAAAAGGAAAACAGAGGAUAAAGAAGCCAAGUCUGGGAAGUCAGAGGAGAAAGAAGCAAAGGAAGGCUCGGAACCAGAACCAGAGGAGCAGGAAGACCCUGACAGGAAAGACGAGGGCGGGCCAGAAGAGGAAGACUCCGAGACCGAUUACUCGUCCGCUGAAGAGAACAUCCUCACCAAAGCAGAUACACUCAAAGUAAAGGAGCGGAAGAAGAAGAAGAAGAAGGGACAGGAAACAGGAGGAUUUUUUGAAGAUGCUUCUCAGUAUGAUGAAAACCUCUCUUUCCAGGACAUGAACCUUUCCCGCCCUCUUCUGAAGGCCAUUACAACCAUGGGCUUCAAGCAGCCCACCCCAAUCCAGAAGGCAUGCAUACCUGUGGGUCUGUUGGGGAAGGAUAUCUGUGCCUGUGCAGCCACUGGGACAGGUAAGACUGCUGCUUUUGCCCUGCCUGUCUUGGAGCGGCUGAUCUACAAACCCCGCCAGGCUCCUGUCACGCGCGUGCUCAUUCUGGUUCCCACCCGAGAGCUGGGCAUCCAGGUGCACUCAGUCACCAAGCAGCUGGCUCAGUUCUGCAGCAUCACCACCUGCCUGGCCGUGGGAGGCCUGGACGUGAAGUCUCAGGAAGCAGCUCUGAGGGCGGCGCCUGACAUCCUCAUCGCCACCCCAGGCCGGCUCAUCGACCACCUGCACAACUGCCCUUCCUUCCACCUGAGCAGUAUUGAGGUGCUCAUCCUGGAUGAGGCUGACAGGAUGCUGGAUGAGUACUUUGAGGAACAGAUGAAGGAAAUUAUCCGGAUGUGUUCCCACCACCGCCAGACCAUGCUCUUCUCGGCCACCAUGACGGACGAGGUAAAAGAUCUGGCUUCUGUUUCCUUGAAGAAUCCUGUCCGAAUAUUUGUAAAUAGCAACACGGAUGUGGCCCCCUUCCUGCGGCAGGAGUUCAUCCGGAUCCGGCCGAAUCGGGAAGGGGACCGGGAAGCCAUCGUGGCAGCUCUGCUGACAAGGACCUUCACUGACCACGUGAUGCUCUUCACCCAGACCAAGAAGCAGGCCCACCGCAUGCACAUCCUUCUGGGGCUCAUGGGGCUGCAGGUGGGCGAGCUCCACGGCAACCUAUCACAGACGCAGCGGCUGGAGGCCCUCCGGCGCUUUAAGGACGAACAGAUUGACAUCCUUGUGGCCACAGAUGUAGCAGCCCGUGGACUUGACAUUGAGGGGGUUAAAACGGUAAUUAACUUCACAAUGCCCAAUACCAUCAAGCAUUAUGUCCACCGGGUAGGGCGAACAGCGCGGGCUGGUCGGGCUGGGCGCUCAGUGUCUCUGGUGGGAGAAGAGGAGCGGAAGAUGUUGAAGGAGAUUGUAAAAGCCGCCAAGGCCCCCGUGAAGGCACGGAUACUUCCUCAAGAUGUCAUCCUCAAAUUCCGGGACAAGAUUGAGAAGAUGGAGAAGGACGUGUAUGCAGUUCUACAGCUCGAGGCCGAGGAGAAAGAGCUCCAGCAGUCGGAAGCCCAGAUCAACACAGCAAAGCGGCUCCUGGAGAAGGGGAAGGAGGCACCGAACCACGAGCCUGAGAGGAGCUGGUUCCAGACCAAGGAAGAGAGGAAGAAGGAAAAAAUUGCCAAGGCUCUGCAGGAGUUUGACUUGGCCUUAAGAGGAAAGAAGAAGAGGAAGAAGUUUAUGAAGGAUGCCAAGAAAAAGGGGGAGAUGACAGCAGAGGAGAGGUCCCAGUUUGAAAUCCUCAAGGCGCAGAUGUUUGCUGAGCGGCUGGCCAAGAGGAAUCGCAGAGCCAAGAGGGCCCGAGCAAUGCCUGAGGAGGAGCCAGCAAGAGGCCCUGCCAAGAAACACAAGCAGGUGAAGAAAUCUGUAUUUGAUGAAGAACUUACCAACACGAGCAAGAAGGCCCUGAAACAGUAUCGAGCUGGGUAGGGUUUUAAGUCACCAUGGGGCUCUUUGUAUUUUGAGCAAAGCUGUAUCCCUUCUUCCUCCUCCUGCACUCCCCAAUUCCCAUAUACUUGCGCCCCUAGAAUAUAUAGUUUUAAGGGUUCCUGUCUGAACCACCCCUACCCGUCCCCUACCCCCAGCUAAGAUCGUCGCGGGAUCCCAGGGUGAGAACAGGAGAAAAGUAUGAAGGCUCUCCUGUCUUGGAGGUGAACAUUUCUAGUUCAGAAAUAGACCUUUCUCUCGGGAGAACUAGAAAGGCAGAGGAUCCUGGUUUGCUCUUAGGAAUGUGUUACCCUCCCCGCCUCCCCCCGCCCCCCCCCGCCCCCCCUAGUAUCCCUUGGGCUGGGGUUGAGUUGGGGAUAGACGAAGCUUCCACUCUCACUUUAAAGCUGGGCCCUGACUUCCACAAUCCCGUAUUGUCGGGUUGAAGCACCAGGCUUAGAACCUCACACCCUGAAAAUGGUGCCUCCGUGUUGCUGCUGCUUCCUGUGGGAGCUGGGUAGGGGCGACAGUGAGACAU